UACGUAGGGAGCAAGCGUUGUUCGGAUUUACUGGGCGUAAAGGGCGCGUAGGCGGCAAAUUAAGUCAGCUGUGAAAUCUCCGAGCUUAACUCGGAACGGUCAGCUGAUACUGAUCUGCUAGAGUGCGGAAGGGGCAAUCGGAAUUCUUGGUGUAGCGGUGAAAUGCGUAGAUAUCAGGAGGAACACCGGCGGCGAAGGCGGCCCUCUGGAUCGUUGCUGACGCUGAGACGCGAAAGCGUGGGGAGCAAACAGG
rnacentral:rRNA from 1 species